ACCAGAUCACCGAAGUUAAGCAACGUCGAACCUGGCCAGUACCUGGAUGUGUGACCGCUUGGGAAUACUAAGUGCUGUAUG